UACGAAGGGGGCUAGCGUUGUUCGGAAUUACUGGGCGUAAAGCGCACGUAGGCGGAUCGAUCAAUCAGGGGUGAAAUCCCAGGGCUCAAACCCUGGAACUGCCCUUUGAUACUGUCGAUCUGGAGUAUGGAAGAGGUGAGGUGGAAUUCCGAGUGUAGAGGUGAAAUUCGUAGAUAUUCGGAGGAACACCAGAGGCGAAGGCGGC
rnacentral:rRNA from 1 species